rnacentral:rRNA from 1 species
UACGUAGGGUGCAAGCGUUGUCCGGAAUUAUUGGGCGUAAAGAGCUCGUAGGCGGUUUGUCGCGUCGGCUGUGAAAACUCGGGGCUCAACCCCGAGCCUGCAGUCGAUACGGGCAAACUAGAGUGUGGUAGGGGAGACUGGAAUUCCUGGUGUAGCGGUGAAAUGCGCAGAUAUCAGGAGGAACACCGGUGGCGAAGGCGGGUCUCUGGGCAGUAACUGACGCUGAGGAGCGAAAGCGUGGGGAGCGAACAGG